rnacentral:lncRNA from 1 species
AACCUAUUCCCUUCAAACUCCCAAAUCGGCUUCUUAGCCCUUGCAGGGAGUGAGAGAGAAAAUCCUCUAAAACUUAAGAAGAGUCUGUUUUCAAUCAGCCUUUCCGAAGUGUGGCAUCUUAGUCCUUUGCUGGCUUUGAGACAUGCCUCUCUCGCUCGCUCGCUCCCUCUCUCUCUCUUUUUCCACAGCCUUGCAAAAGCGGACGAUGGCACAACAGCUGCCUAUAAAACUCCAGAAGAGGAGAGCGCUCUCGUUUUGACACUGGAGUUCUCGGUCCGGAGAGAACAAUAUCCUCCUAUCUCGUUUGAAAUGUUACGGCGACUCUCAUAACACACGCGAUCACUCCAAGCACGAAUCUCCCUUUUUUGAAAGCGCUGCUCGGCCCAUUGUUUGAAGUGGGAAUCAGCGCGCAGCCCGAAGCGAAAAGGGAAAAAAAAAUCUUAGGAGCCCGGCUUGGUAUUGCAUAGGGAAAGAACUGACAAAAUAUUAUAGUGUGUUUCCUAGAAGUGCGUGAUGAGAGCCCGUGGUGUGUUCCCGAAAGAGAAGUGGUUUUUUUUUUUUUUCUUUUCCUUUUUUUUCCCCUAAAAGAUUGUGAUCGCCUUUGUACGUCUUUCUUUUGAUCCCACAAAGAGAAUGCAAUAUACAUAUAUGUGUUUGCUCUCCAUACAAGAAAUGCAAGGGACCGUACAAUGGAAUAUACGGCCGGUUAGCCCUCAUAAUGCUUAGUUUUGCUGUAAUUAAUUGAAAACAGUUAUUAGGUCGUCAUUGGCAAUAGCGUAAAUAAUUGCAGCAGAUUUUUACUUAAAAUUGACCGGUCACAGAGUGAUAGAUCGAUUCGAGGUAUAAAAAUGAUGUAUCAAAACAUCAAUGUCGAUUAUUUGAAAUAUUGUAGUCGAAUCUUUUUAUUGCUUCAUCGGUUAAGUGUCUGAAAGUGCUGUGUUCCAACAUAUAUUUAUGUUGUCAAUACUGUCAAAACUGUCAGUUUUAUUACAGUGGAUUUGUAAUACAUUUCGGAUUUGCUCAUUUACAUAAAAUGUCCACCCCAGUUACCCCUCCUUUUCCCCAUCUCUGCAAAUCUAUGUCAGUUUAAUGAAAGGAUUCAGGACUCCUAGCUGAAGCAAAAAAAGUAGAGAUAUUGCUCCAUUAAGUCCAAUUUAAACAUCCCUUUGGAAAGCUUGGGCUAUUCCUAACUUGCUAUAAGAGGGAAUCCUCCACCCCCUUU